rnacentral:lncRNA from 1 species
CCCUUAAUAGACAUAGCGAUAGCCCUCCUUCAGACAUGAGGAAAAGUAGACUUUCAAUAUCAAAAGCAGUUGGGGAAGACGCUGCCUGAAGGGUGUGCAGGCUAUAUAAACAGGAAAGGAAACACAGGCAGGGAGAGGCUGAGUGCCUUUCCCCAGGUCAUGAGCCAGAACCUUGGCAGAGCCAGAAAUAGCACUCGGGUUUCCUGAGCCCCUCCAUCCCACGGCACACCUGGUGUCCCACGCAGUUCGCCUGCAGACAUCAGUCUCAGCUUAGAGACACCCUUUCAGACAUCAGUGCAUCUGGAAAACAGAGCAGCAGCAGCCUCACAGGAGCAGCAUCUUUACUCUUUUCAGGAACUGAAGUUUUAGGAGAAAGUAUUGGGACAAGACAUAUUAUACAACAGUGGUGAUAUUUUAAUAUUCUUCACUCCAAAUCAGUUGUCUAUCCUUUCCUGGAUAGCAUUUAAAGGAUUUGUUCUUCACUGUAAACUCAUAGUUUCUCCUCCCACGUACUAGGCUAUUUUUAAUCAUUGGACAACAUCAUCACAAAGUCUAGUUAUAUGUCUGCUAAAAAAAAGCUCCCAUUUUAAUCACUAAUAAACCAAAAAUCAUAGCACAAGAAGAAAUCACUCUGCUAGACAAACAUCAAACACAAUAGACAGCAUUAUUGUUUGCCCUUUCCUGUGAACAGUGGAGACUUGUCACCCUGGAAGUCAUUCUUAGUUAAGCAACUGAAGUACAGAAAUACUCAUUCUCUUUAUAUUCCAUGUGAUAACAACUGCAUUAUCUGAAAACAGUGCUUGGGCUCCCAGGUCUGUUAACCCACAAGCAAAAUUCAUCAGUUGAGAAUGAGAUGGGUAUUCAUUCUUCUUGGCCCUUUUCUACCAGCAGAGCAGUGCUUGGGUUCCUUAAAAAGCUCAGAAAAUCAAGAGUGCAGGCAGUGGUGUCUCAUUCAAGAGCAGUGUCUGCGUCAUUCCCACCCAGCAGCACAUGCACUCGGUGCUCUAUUUCAUACCCCCAGGACUGUCUGGCUGUGUUAAUGCAAUAAGUAGGUGUUUCAGUUUCCUUGUUUCUACUAUAGCAGGAUUUGGGGGAGGGUUUGAAUUUUAACCUAGGGAAAUUUUAUAUAAUUUUUUUUUCUUGAGCCUCUGGGCUGCUUUCUCUUCCAGAGGGAGCAUACCUUAGCAAAACAAAAUGCUUCCUCCCUCUCUUCCAGGUUUGAGCUAAUUACACAUCCACAUUACUCAGUAUCCACAGGCUGCUACCUCUCUUUGCAGUAACAAUAGUCACAUAAGAACCAAAACAUGUAACAUUUGUGAAUGCACCCUGCCUCAGUACAUGCAGCCAUGCACCACCACAACCACACCAGUAUUACUGGGAACAUGUCCUACUUCGUGCCAUCUUGUGCUACUCUGCUUCUGCCUCCACCCUGUACAUUCCCACCCUAUGGCUGAAGCCAAUUUACUUGUAAAGCCUCCAAGCCCUAGGAGCAGGCUGCUGUCACCUGCUUCCCAUGGUCUUUCAGCUCCUUGGUCCUUGAGGUUUAAUCAUCAAAGCUGAGCUCUCCUGGUCAUGUAGCAGAAGUGGCACAGUCUAGGCUACCACCUCCCCACCAGAGUGGGGCAGGGGGAGAGGACAGCAAAGCAUAGCUCUGUGCCCAGCUCCAGCCUUGCACUGGGCAAAGGAGAAGGAACCAGGCAAGGGAGAGGGGCACCAGGCAAGGGAGAGGGGCACCAGACAAGGGAGAGGGGCACCAGGCAAGGGAGAGGGGCACCAGGCAUGCCAGGCAGGCUGCAGCCUGGGGAGGAGCAGGGGAAAGGCUCCUCUCAUCCCAUUUCUGUUUUGAGAUGCGUUGCUGUCAUUUGGCAAAAUCUUGCUAUUCUCCUUGAAAACCAGGCUCCUCUGGGGCUGAAGAAGGAAGGGCCAAAUAUUUUGAUGAUGCAUGUGGGGCCUGGAGUAAAGCAAAGUGAAUUAAUAACGCUACACCUGGGCACUGAGUGCACACACGGCCUAUUAUUCGGGGGCUGCGAGCCAAAUGCCAUUAACCUCCGAGGCAGAUCAUUAUUAGACCAUAACACCCAACCUGUCAUGUAUCCUUGUUUCAUUAACACAGUUCUGGAAAGCCUCUAAUAAAGUCAGGGAAACUGUUGCCUCAAAAUUAGCAGAGAUUACAAGAUCUUCCAUGUGGAUACCAAAGAGAAGAAAAGGAAGUUCAUGACAAUAAUUUUAAGGGCAUUAGAGAUAACUGUGAUAACUUUGCUUCUGAUCUAAAGCCCACUGAAGGCAGUAAACAGGCUCCUAUCCUUUUCUUCUGAAACAGAUUUUAUUAUUAUAAAUAUGAUUCUCCCCAACUCAUUUCUUAAAUUAAAUUAGAGGUUGCCCAGCCCAGAAGAAACCUGUAAUGCAUAUGCCAAAAUAUUUGCAUGGCUGACAAGCUCUGUCUUUGAAUCUUCAUGAAAGGCAUAUAAUUGUGUUUAAUGCAAUUUAUUUGUCAUUAAAGAAAUAAGCUUUGAUCCAAACAUCUUUGCAACAGAGAUCCAAAGAAACUAGAUUCCAGGUCUAUUUUAAAGCCAUGUGCACUUAACAUUCAUUCCUUUCCUUAUCUGAUUAGGAAAUUUAUUCCCUAGUAGAUUAUAAAAAUAUAACAAGAACAACAAAAGGUUAUACUUACAUUAAUUUAUUAAUGUAUUGUAACUCAUGCCUGGGCUAGUUUGCUGUUAGACUAUUUAUUGUUUUAAGAAGGCCCAUUUCCACCCAACUGACACAAAAAAUCUUCACAACAAAUAUUAUUGACUAUUCCAUCCCCCAACAAUUUUAGAUAGCAUCUAACCAAGUAGGUUUCCAGUGUUUCAAUGGAUCUCUCAAUGGCAGCUGACAGAAAUUCCCAGAAAUGCAACUGAGGAAAGAAGGACAAUGAGAGUUUUGAAAACCUUUAACUGAAACACUUCUAUGAAUUAUUUUAAUGACAGUGGCAGCUUGUCUGCAUUUAAGCAUCUAUGCAACAUGUGCAGGGCCAAUGUGGUCACGGUACUUCUGUCCACAGGGGAGGAACAAGCUACUGGUUUGGAGGUUUUCUAUGUAGGUUUAUUUUUUAUCUUGUUUUUGGUGCAAUCCAGAUAUGAACAAAUUAAAUGCUCCAGAAUGUGAUCACUUAAAAAAAAAAAAGAGAGAGAGAGAGAAAAAAACAACAGCUCCUGCUACAAAAACCCAAAAAACAAACCAACACAAAAA